rnacentral:rRNA from 1 species
AAUCUGUGUGACUGCGUACCUUUUGUAUAAUGGGUCAGCGACUUAUAUUCUGUAGCAAGGUUAACCGAAUAGGGGAGCCGAAGGGAAACCGAGUCUUAACUGGGCGUUAAGUUGCAGGGUAUAGACCCGAAACCCGGUGAUCUAGCCAUGGGCAGGUUGAAGGUUGGGUAACACUAACUGGAGGACCGAACCGACUAAUGUUGAAAAAUUAGCGGAUGACUUGUGGCUGGGGGUGAAAGGCCAAUCAAACCGGGAGAUAGCUGGUUCUCCCCGAAAGCUAUUUAGGUAGCGCCUCGUGAAUUCAUCUCCGGGGGUAGAGCACUGUUUCGGCAAGGGGGUCAUCCCGACUUACCAACCCGAUGCAAACUGCGAAUACCGGAGAAUGUUAUCACGGGAGACACACGGCGGGUGCUAACGUCCGUCGUGAAGAGGGAAACAACCCAGACCGCCAGCUAAGGUCCCAAAGUCAUGGUUAAGUGGGAAACGAUGUGGGAAGGCCCAGACAGCCAGGAUGUUGGCUUAGAAGCAGCCAUCAUUUAAAGAAAGCGUAAUAGCUCACUGGUCGAGUCGGCCUGCGCGGAAGAUGUAACGGGGCUAAACCAUGCACCGAAGCUGCGGCAGCGACACUGUGUGUUGUUGGGUAGGGGAGCGU